rnacentral:rRNA from 1 species
CCAGCAGCCGCGGUAAUUCCAGCUCCAAUAGCGUAUAUUAAAGUUGUUGCAGUUAAAAAGCUCGUAGUUGGACUUCUGAGAGAAUGCCAAUGUCCGCCGACGUGCGUGUGCAGCGUCGCUCUUUCAUCCUUCUGUUAACGUCAUUCGGCAUUUACUUGCCGGUGGCGGGCUCAGAUAUUUUACCUUGAGAAAAUUAGAGUGUUUCAGGCAGGCUAGGCCGGAAUACAUUAGCAUGGAAUAAUGGAAUACGACUACGGUCUCUUUGUUGGUUUGAGGGGCUGCAGUAAUGAUUAAUAGGGAUAGUUGGGGGCAUUAGUAUUUGACUGCUAGAGGUGGAAUUCUCGGAUUUGUCAAAGACUAACUUAUGCGAAAGCAUUUGCCAAGGAUGUUUUCAUUAAUCAAGAACGAAAGU